rnacentral:rRNA from 1 species
ACAGUACUCCUACGGGAGGCAGCAGUGGGGAAUAUUGCACAAUGGGCGCAAGCCUGAUGCAGCCAUGCCGCGUGUGUGAAGAAGGCCUUCGGGUUGUAAAGCACUUUCAGUCGUGAGGAAGGUAGUGUAGUUAAUAGCUGCAUUAUUUGACGUUAGCGACAGAAGAAGCACCGGCUAACUCCGUGCCAGCAGCCGCGGUAAUACGGAGGGUGCGAGCGUUAUCCGGAUUUAUUGGGUUUAAAGGGUCCGUAGGCGGAUUAAUAAGUCAGUGGUGAAAUCCCAUCGCUUAACGAUGGAACUGCCAUUGAUACUGUUAGUCUUGAAUGAGGGUGCAGUGGUUGGAAUGUGUAGUGUAGCGGUGAAAUGCAUAGAUAUUACACAGAACACCGAUUGCGAAGGCAGAUCACUAACCCUAAAUUGACGCUGAGGGACGAAAGCGUGGGAGCAAACAGGAUUAGAUACCCUGGUAG